UGCGUAGGCGGCGCGGUAAGUCGGGUGUGAAAUCUCGGGGCUUAACUCCGAAACUGCAUUCGAUACUGCCGUGCUUGAGGACUGGAGAGGAGACUGGAAUUUACGGUGUAGCGGUGAAAUGCGUAGAUAUCGUAAGGAAGACCAGUGGCGAAGGCGGGUCUCUGGACAGUUCCUGACGCUGAGGCACGAAGGCAGGGGAGCGAAACG
rnacentral:rRNA from 1 species